rnacentral:rRNA from 1 species
GACGAACGCUGGCGGCAUGCCUAAUACAUGCAAGUCGAGCGAACAGAUGAAGUGCUUGCACUUCUGACGUUAGCGGCGAACGGGUGAGUAACACGUAAGGAAUCUACCUAUAAGCGGGGGAUAACAUUAGGAAACGGGUGCUAAUACCGCAUAAUAUCUUCUUCCGCAGGGAAGAAGAUUGAAAGACGGCUCUGCUGUCACUUAUAGAUGACUUUGUGGUGCAUUAGUUAGUUGGUGGGGUAACGGCCUACCAAGACGCUGAUGCAUAGCCGGCCUGAGAGGGUGAUCGGCCACAUUGGGACUGAGACACGGCCCAAACUCCUACGGGAGGCAGCAGUAGGGAAUCUUCCGCAAUGGGCGAAAGCCUGACGGAGCAAUGCCGCGUGAGUGAGGAAGGCCUUCGGGUCGUAAAACUCUGUUAUAAGAGAAGAACAAAUUGUAGAGUAACUGCUACAGUCUUGACGGUAUCUUAUCAGAAAGCCACGGCUAACUACGUGCCAGCAGCCGCAGUAA